CUUGGCUUCAGAAGCUAAGCGGACCCACUUCUGUGUUUCCAACCAUUUGAUCUUCUUACCACUUAGCCCAUCACUGGGGAUUCCCAACUACUAAAUUAGGAAAGUUUGAAAAGCUCUUCAUUUCAACAUCAGUUCCCAUCAACUGUGGUAGGCGGAGAUCGUUGUUUUUACGAUAACAGCCUUGAAGGGCACAUCUCCACAGGAUCUCUACAGCCCCUGCUGAUCAGUCAGGAGUGAACAAGAGACCCAGGAAGAAUCAAUCCAUUCACUGACCGGCCACCAAUUAAACAUUCCCUCUUAUGAACUCGAACUGAAAGAACCAGAAUAACAAGGGCCUGAGGGAAUCACCCAAGGAGCAUCUUCUUGGUCCAAAAGCAUGGGAAGAAAUCAAGACGUGCAAGUCCUUUGCUUCAGUCCUGACAGCCUAGCAGGGCUGUGGAAAUGGCUUCCUCCUCCCUACGAAGCUUUGUAAGCUCACAAUCGAUUAGCCACUCAUGGUGGGAGCUGCAUUUCAGACUGAAACUAUCACCCAAAGAAUGAAGACAAAAUAUGUGAGGCUUUAAAUAUCUUCCUGGAACACGGUCUUCCAAACUCGCAGCAAAUUGAUGGAGCAAUCACCCCUUCACAUGAAAUAACAUAAAGAUGAAGAAAAAUGAAAGCUGCCUUCCUGCCCAGCCACUCCUCUUGACUUCCCCUGCCCUACCUGGACUCCUUCACAACCUGAGUCCCAGCUUCAAGUUGGCCUCCAUCAGGAAGGGCUCAGUGAAGAAGCCUGAAUUUGGUCAUGUCCCUUCUCAGCACCCUCAACACCUGGGUCUUUCUAAAGCUUAGUUCUGCCCACUAGAUUGGGACCCCCCUGAAGGUAGGUACUGUGCUUUAUCUAUGUUAUUCUUCUGUUCCUCAGCAGCCCCUGUAUGCCUGGUACAGAGGAG
rnacentral:lncRNA from 1 species